AGAGUUUGAUCCUGGCUCAGGACGAACGCUGGCGGCGUGCUUAACACAUGCAAGUCGAGCGGUAAGGCCCUUUCGGGGGUACACGAGCGGCGAACGGGUGAGUAACACGUGGGUAACCUGCCCUCAGCUCUGGGAUAAGCCCGGGAAACUGGGUCUAAUACCGGAUAUGACCUCGUAUCGCAUGGUGCGGGGUGGAAAGUGUUCAGCGGCUGAGGAUGGGCCCGCGGCCUAUCAGCUUGUUGGUGGGGUGGUGGCCUACCAAGGCGACGACGGGUAGCCGGCCUGAGAGGGCGACCGGCCACACUGGGACUGAGACACGGCCCAGACUCCUACGGGAGGCAGCAGUGGGGAAUAUUGCGCAAUGGGCGAAAGCCUGACGCGAGCGACGCCGCGUGAGGGAUGACGGCCUUCGGGUUGUAAACCUCUUUCAGCUCCGACGAAGCCUUCGGGUGACGGUAGGGGCAGAAGAAGCACCGGCCAACUACGUGCCAGCAGCCGCGGUAAUACGUAGGGUGCAAGCGUAGUCCGGAAUGUUGGGCGUAAAGAGCUCGUAGGCGGUUUGUCGCGUCGGCUGUGAAAACUCUGGGCUCAACUACGAGCUUGCAGUCGAUACGGGCAGACUGGAGUUCGGCAGGGGAGACUGGAUUUCCUGGGUGUAGCGGUGAAAUGCGCAGAUAUCAGGAGGAACAACGGGUGGCGAAGGCGGGGUCUCUGGGGCCGAUACUGACGCCUGAGGAGCGAAAGCGUGGUGUGUGUCUGGAUGAGAUGGCCUGGUAGUCAUGGGCAAGUUCGAGCA
rnacentral:rRNA from 1 species